GAUGAACGCUGGCGGCGUGCCUAAUACAUGCAAGUCGAGCGAACGGACGAGAAGCUUGCUUCUCUGAUGUUAGCGGCGGACGGGUGAGUAACACGUGGAUAACCUACCUAUAAGACUGGGAUAACUUCGGGAAACCGGAGCUAAUACCGGAUAAUAUUUUGAACCGCAUGGUUCAAAAGUGAAAGACGGUCUUGCUGUCACUUAUAGAUGGAUCCGCGCUGCAUUAGCUAGUUGGUAAGGUAACGGCUUACCAAGGCAACGAUGCAUAGCCGACCUGAGAGGGUGAUCGGCCACACUGCAACUGAGACACGGUCCCGACUCCUACGGGAGGCAGCAGUCGGGAAUCUUCCGCAAUGGGCGAAAGCCUGACGGAGCAACGCCGCGUGAGUCAUGAAGGUCUUCGGAUCGUAAAACUCUGUUAUUAGGGAAGAACAUAUGUGUAAGUAACUGUGCACAUCUUGACGGUACCUAAUCAGAAAGCCACGGCUAACUACGUG
rnacentral:rRNA from 1 species